GACGAACGCUGGAGGCGUGCUUAACACAUGCAAGUCGAACGAUGAAGCCCAGCUUGCUGGGUGGAUUAGUGGCGAACGGGUGAGAAACACGUGGGCAACCUGCCCCAAACUCUGGGAUAACUCCUCGAAAGAGGUGCUAAUACCGGAUACGAACUAGACAGACAUCUGUACUAGUUGGAAAGUUUUUCGGUUUGGGAUGGGCCCGCGGCCUAUCAGCUUGUUGGUGAGGUAACGGCUCACCAAGGCUACGACGGGUAACCGGCCUGAGAGGGCGACCGGUCACACUGGGACUGAGACACGGCCCAGACUCCUACGGGAGGCAGCAGUGGGGAAUAUUGCGCAAUGGGCGAAAGCCUGACGCAGCGACGCCGCGUGAGGGAUGAAGGUCUUCGGAUCGUAAACCUCUUUCAGUAGGGACGAAGCGAAAGUGACGGUACCUAAAGAAGAAGCACCGGCUAACUACGUGCCAGCAGCCGCAGUAA
rnacentral:rRNA from 1 species